rnacentral:lncRNA from 1 species
GGGAAAUUUAACACGGAAGAACAAUGAAAGUUUGGCAAGAAGGAAAGACAGUCUCACACAGCAUUGUGAUGCUCUCAACAGACCCGGAUGCAGUGACUCCUGUCAGGGAGCUUUGACUUAACAGGUUCUACAUUGAUGGAGUAUUUCUAAAACAGCAUCUUACCAUGUUGAGAAAGGUGGGAGGCACUACUUAAAAACUAACAAUGCCCGGGCUACAUAAGCAAGCAAAUUCUUCACAUGUUUUUAAGUUGAUCGAACACAUACAAAACCAGGACAGUUUCAACUGAUAGAACCAAAGCUGCUUCAACAGGACUGGCCAAAAGGAAAACUUCCAAGUGGGUGAAGGGUGUCGACUUAAUGCAACAAGCAUUUGUUGAUCUAUCUCUCUCAUUAGGGGUUCUAGUUACUCAACAGAAGGAUUAGCUUUCCAGUGCAAUUAAAAACAGACACUCUGCAAGUAACUGGCUUGUACACUUUCCUCAAAUUACUCUCAGUCUAUGCAGAAAAAGAGGCAGAUAAAGUAAACACACAACCUAAAAGAGAUAUUAAAUAUGCGUGUGUUCUGGAGGACACCAUACCUGGAUACUGUUUUAUCAGCAAUGGGAUGGUUUGCCGAGAGUGUGGGUGAAAUUCUGGAGUGAGCUUUUAAAAGGUGAUAUUCAAAUAUGGCAUUAAGGGGCAUUAAAAACAGCAGCUGAACCUCUGUUUUGCCUGGUAUAUCUGAAGAAUGAUGGACUGUCCCCUGUGCUUGGAACAUGGAAAAACUGAAAACAUUUUCAUUGCACUGUCUGAAGUGCCUUUGUUUUUCUGAUAACCUUGGCCAAAAAAACAUAAUGUCAUAAAUCUUGCAAAAUAGAGAUUCCUCAGAAGCCUCCCGAAUUGCGUAACCUCAAGUAUUUUGUUUCAGAGUGGAAGCCUCAUGGUCUCAGCCUUACCACCAAGCCUAUGAACUUAGUCCUUUUGUUCCUCUUUGCUUAUUUAAAACAUCUAGAAUACUGUGACUAUCCUGUGCUGUGAGUGCCCCAGGGCUUUCAUUGUCUGGUAUCAAUCUCAGAGGCUUCUGGCUGC